rnacentral:rRNA from 1 species
UAGGGAAUUUUCGGCAAUGGGGGGAACCCUGACCGAGCAACGCCGCGUGAAGGGAAGAAGGAAUUCGUUCUGUAAACUUCUGUUAUAAAGGAAGAAAGACGGAUGGAGGAAAUGACAUCCGAGUGACGGUACUUUAUGAGAAAGCCACGGCUAACUACGUGCC